GUCCAGACUCCUACGGGAGGCAGCAGUGGGGGAUAUUGCACAAUGAGGGAAGCCCUGAUGCAGCGACGCCGCGUGGGUGAAGAAGCGCCUCGGCGCGUAAAGCCCUGUCAGCAGGGAAGAAAAUGACGGUACCUGAAGAAGAAGCCCCGGCUAACUACGUGCCAGCAGCCGCGGUAAUACGUAGGGGGCAAGCGUUAUCCGGAUUUACUGGGGGUAAAGGGGGCGCAGACGGCGAUGCAAGCCAGGAGUGAAAGCCCGGGGCCCAACCCCGGGACUGCUCUUGGAACUGGGUGGCUGGAGUGCAGGAGGGGCAGGCGGAAUUCCUGGUGUAGCGGUGAAAUGCGUAGAUAUCAGGAGGAACACCGGUGGCGAAGGCGGCCUGCUGGACUGCAACUGACGUUGAGGCCCGAAAGCGUGGGGAGCAAACAGGAUUAGAUACCCGAGUAC
rnacentral:rRNA from 1 species